ensembl:lncRNA
AAUUAUUGUUUUAAUUAAAUGACUGAACAGUAUAAUAAUGUUGUGUGCUCAGAGACUACAUGGCACGCAUGGUAGAGCUGGAUAAGAUAUGAUACACACUGACAUAAUCCUAGGUGUUAACAAUAAUAAUGUACAACUUCAGCGUAUGUUGCUAUUUCAGGAUGUUUUGGCACAAUGGGUUGAUUUUAUUCACCCUGGGGCUGAGCAAUGAACAAAUUACCACAAGGCCAGCAAGGGUGGGGAUUCACAUUGCCUCAUUGUGACACAAAGUACCUUAUCACACUGCCUCAUAAAGAUUUUAAGUGUGAUCUUAAUCCUUGAAACCUCC